ACAGUGUUGACUUCAUAACAAAUGGAAGCAAUAUAUAUGACUAUAAGAGCACAAAGGGUAGAAGAGAAAUCAUAUGAAUUACAGCGUUUCAUGGUUCUUAACACUACAAAGUGGGCUCACCAGUCACCAACU